CCAUUUAACGGCCGCGGUAUCAUAACCGUGCAAAGGUAGCGUAAUCACUUGUCUCCCAAAUAGAGACCCGUAUGAAUGGCUAACUGAGGACCCAACUGUCCCCCUCAACCAAUCAAUGAAACUGAUCUUUCAGUACAAAAGCUGAAAUAAACACACAAGACGAGAAGACCCUGUGGAGCUUUAAACUCACUACUAAGGCCCCCCCAUAGUACAAAUUUUAAGUUGGGGCGACUACGGAGAAAAACCAACCCUCCAUGAAACCAGGGUGACCCCCUUAACUAAGGCCUACAAGCCAAACAAUACAAGCUGACCCAGUAACACUGCAAACCGGACCAAGUUACCCCAGGGAUAACAGCGCCAUCUCCCUCAAGAGUCCAUAUCGCCAGGGAGGCUUACGACCUCGAUGUUGGAUCAGGACACCCAGGUGGUGCAGCCACUACCAAAGGUUCGUUUGUUCAACGACUAACGUCCUACGUGAUCUG
rnacentral:rRNA from 1 species